UACGUAGGGGCCUAGCGUUGUCCGGAUUUAUUGGGCGUAAAGAGCUCGUAGGCGGCUUGGUAAGUCAGGUGUGAAAUCUCCACGCUCAACGUGGAGGGGCCACCCGAAACUGCCAUGGCUUGAGUCCGGUAGGGGAGUGUGGAAUUCCCGGUGUAGCGGUGAAAUGCGCAGAUAAUCGGGAGGAACACCCGUAGCGAAGGCGGCACUCUGGGCCGGUACUGACGCUGAGGAGCGAAAGCGUGGGAGCAAACGGG
rnacentral:rRNA from 1 species